rnacentral:rRNA from 1 species
GACGAACGCUGGCGGCGUGCUUAACACAUGCAAGUCGAGCGGGGAACUUCGGUUCCCAGCGGCGGAUGGGUGAGUAACACGUGGGUAAACUGCCUCAUAGUGGGGAAUAGCAUUCCGAAAGGAAGAUUAAUACCGCAUAAUACUCAGAAAUCACAUGAUUUCUGAUCCAAAGGAUUUAUCCGGUAGGAGAUGGACCCGCGGCGCAUUAGCUUGUUGGUGAGGUAACGGCGUACCAAGGCUUCGAUGCGUAGCCGCCCUGAGAGGGUGAUCGGGCACAUUGGAACUGAGACACAGUCCAGACUCGUACGGGAGGCAGCAGGAGGGAAUAUUGCACAAUGGGGGAAACCCUGAUGCAGCAACGCCGCGUGAGUGAUGAAGGUCUUCGGAUCGUAAAACUCUGUCUUAUGGGACGAUAAUGACGGUACCAUAGGAAGAAGCCACGGCUAACUACGUGCCAGCCGCCGCGGUAA